rnacentral:tRNA from 1 species
GAGGUUGUGGCUCAGCGGUAGAGCGCUCACCUCUCACAUGCGAGACCCUGAGUUCGAUCCUCAGCAUCA